GUCGCGUGAGACAGUCUUUCUGAACCCCUGUUUGAGCUGAUAGUAUAUUAUAAAUAGCUAACUUUUCACUGUCACACUUGUCAGUCUGGCACUAAACCUUCUGAGGUCUAGCCACUGACCACAGAGCACACAGCCAGUUCCAACGACGACACGAUACAGCACAUGGAGACUUGUCAACACUUCGUUCAACAUCUUGCUGCAACUUCUUCGUCACCACUGCCAGCUUCUUAGCAUCUCUACGUACACACCACCAACAGCGCCCGCACAGGUUCUCUCAGCACUGUUUGUGAAUGACUUCACCCUGGUUAACAACGAGUACAACCUGCGAGACCUCCUGUACCAAGUAACCGGCCGCAGCAUUGAAGCGUCAACUUCCCGUGAGACAGUAUCUCUUCUUGGCUCUGUCUUGCCGCCACAACUUCUUGUUACAGCACCUCAACCACUGUGUACCUUGACUAUGAACUGGUAUUUUCCAUCCUUGUGUCUGAACUUUCUUCUAACGUCCUUAUAGACUCUUUUCUAAGCUCUGUAUUUCUCGCACACACAUCCAUGUUUGUAUACACAUACACUUUGUUUGCAUGACGACCUGUCUAUUAUUGUGUUUAUUAUGUCGCACUCACACACACAGACAUACAUGUUGAUAUAUCAAUAAGACCUUCUCCUAAACCUUCUACCAGUUGAGCCUCUCUUCCCUUCUUGGCACUUAUACACAUUUAACUUUCUUUUCGAGUUUUUUUAUUUGUAUCAACCGUGCGAUGCGCUAAAGGAACCAUUCCUCAUCACCAUCUCCUGAUCGAACGGUCCUUACAGACGCUAUCCCUGUCGCCAACACUCACUCGUUUCCAAUCAAGAUAAUGUUUCCCCACGGUCGAGCAUGUUUUCACGGAUUAGAAUUCAACGACACUGCUUGUAUAUGUUUACAACUAUUGAGUGAUGCCAAGACAAGGAUACACCCCCCACACUAUACCAUUGUAUUUGACAUAAAAAUCAAUCAGUUUUGUUUAUUGAUUUUCACUGUUUCUUGAAAUAUUCGGCUCACCGUCCAUCUUUUACAUUUAAUGUCUAACCUCUUGAACAAUAAAAGCUACGUUAACGAGCUUCAGUUAACUAACCGAAAACUUCAAUUACCAGCGAGUUCAACUUUGCUUUUCAUUCUUUGGGAGUCAAUAAAAUAAGUUCAGGCAAGUUCUGAGGUCGAUGUAAUCAACUGAAUUUCUCCCUCAAAAAUUGCCGGCCGACCAGCAUGACCACAACCGCAAAGCAGAAACGAAUAAACGAGUAGUACCAAAAUAGGAAAAGGAAAAUGUCAAGUGUUAAAUUAUUGUUUUCGUGCAAGAGGAAGUACAAAAUUACCUCCCUUUAACUAAAGGUAUACACCUCAUAGUAUGCUGUUUCAAGCCUGUUCACAGUUUUCGGCUAUCUGAUGUCAUCAACAGUAUGGAUGUAUAUGCCACUGGAUUUACUUCAGAAAUUUCUUCAUGUCCGUAGAAUUUAUAAAAUGAGAAAGAAAAUGGAAUUCACUACAAUCAUUUUGUCCAAGGCACAAUGGGUCAAAAUGAUAGUAGUGAGUAAUAAAGGGAUUUGGGAAUUCCAUUUUCUUUCUCUCAUAUUAUAUAUAUAUAUAUAUAUAUAGUGAAACUACCUCUAUCGCCAUUAUAUACAAACAAGCAAUCUUCCCCGCUGUUAUAAAUAUAAACAAGCGCGGGCGUAGCAGAGAGCAGCCUGCUGUAUCCAUCACAUGACUGACUAUUCUUUGCGCGGGUAAAUUAUCUCCUCCAUUCCCACCAGGACGCAAACUGACCAAUCACAGCCCCUAAUAAGGUCACGUGAUAGUGUUUUUCUUAUGAUUCUCUGGAGCCUACCUUCAGCUAUAAAUAGACUGCUAGACACCCGGCAAAUUCGUCGCGCCUCAGAUCCUAGAUCUGGCCGCCGACCACACACGCGUAACACAGCCAGCCAGUUUCCAGCGACGACAUCGACACCAUCAACUACGAACUACAAGCACCGACGUCGCCAGCAGCAACACCACACUACGACUACAAGCAUUUCCCCCAAUGUCACCAACUACGACUACGAGCAUUGCCGCCAGCGUCAACAUGUCUCUACUCGUACACAAGCUACCAACAGCUAACUGCAGCACUUUUAAUCCUGUUUGUGUGAUUUCUUCACCACGAAAUAACAGCCAAGAGCCUAGCCUGCGAAGAACAUCUGUAUUCAAGAAUUUGGCCCGGCAUAGAAGCCCUAACAUCACAACUAGUGAUCGCUCUGCCCCACACGCCUUAACUUCUUAUAUACAGACACUUACCACUGUGUACUCUAAGAACUGGUAUCUUAAAUUCUUAUACGUGUUACUGACUCUAUUCUAUACUAUGUAUCUCUCGCAUACACAUACAUGUAUUACUCACACACACUCUUUUCUUUACAUGACAGCCUGUCUUUUAUUGUGUUUCAUUAUGUCGCAUUCACUCACACACAGACACACUUUAAUGCUACAAUAAAUCUUACUGUAAUUCAUCUCUA